rnacentral:tRNA from 1 species
UGGCUCAGUGGUUAAGAGCACUGAUUGCUCUUCCAGAAGACCUGGGUUCAAUUCCCAG